AUGGGAUUUGUUCUUUUAGGUCAUCCGCGUUACCACAAAUUUUGCGUAAACAAAAUUUGCAGGACUACGCCUGUUUACAUAACAAAUCCUAUGGUAGGUCGCAAAUUGGGGGAAUUCGUGCCUACUCGGCAUUUCACGAGUUCUGAAAAUGCAAGAAAGAAUACUAAAUCUCGUCGUUAA
rnacentral:rRNA from 1 species